rnacentral:rRNA from 1 species
GAUGAACGCUAGCGGCAGGCCUAAUACAUGCAAGUCGAACGGUGUCUCCGGACAUAGUGGCGCACGGGUGCGUAACACGUAUGCAACCUACCUUACAUUGGGGGACAGCCUUUCGAAAGGGAGAUUAAUACCGCAUAAGACAGUAGCUGGGCAUCCAGCAGCUGUUAAAGAUUUAUCGAUGUAAGCUGGGCAUGCGUCCAAUUAGCUAGUUGGUGAGGUAACGGCUCACCAAGGCAAUGAUUGGUAGGGGAACUGAGAGGUCAAUCCCCCACACGGGCACUGAGAAGCGGGCCAGACUCCUACGGGAGGCAGCAGUAGGGAAGAUUGGGAAAUGGACGCAAGUCUGACCCAGCCAUGCCGCGUGCAGGAUGAAGGCGUUAUGCGUUGUAAACUGCUUUUAUACAGGAAGAAACGACUCUUGCGAGAGGCAUUGACGGUACUGUAUGAAUAAGCACCGGCUAACUCCGUGCCAGCAGCCGCCGUAAGAC